UACGGAGGAUCCGAGCGUUAUCCGGAUUUAUUGGGUUUAAAGGGUGCGCAGGCGGAAGAUUAAGUCGGUGGUGAAAUUUUGCAGCUCAACUGUAAAAGUGCCUUCGAAACUGGUUUCAUUGAGUGUAGAUGAAGUAGGCGGAAUUUGUGGUGUAGCGGUGAAAUGCAUAGAUAUCACGAGGAACUCCGGUUGCGCAGGCAGCUUACUAAACUACUACUGACGCUCAGGCACGAAGGCGUGGGGAUCAAACAGGAUUAGAUACCCGUGUAGU
rnacentral:rRNA from 1 species